rnacentral:lncRNA from 1 species
CACCUUGAUCUUAGACUUCUCAGUCUUCAGAACUGUGUGAAAUAACUAUUGUUUAAACCACUUAGAAUGGGAUAUUUUAUUCUGGCUCCCUAGGCUGAUUGAGAUGGUGCAUCUAAGUACCUGCCUGAAAAUUGUGACAUUUCUCCUGCAGAAGAAAUUCAUGUUUAUUGGAAGAUUUGGAUGCUACAGAGAACAGUAUGAAAUGAAAGGUAAGUCCCCUUCCUUCUUCUAAUAGUGUUGUGGGUUGAACUG